rnacentral:rRNA from 1 species
UACGUAGGUGGCAAGCGUUGUCCGGAUUUAUUGGGCGUAAAGGGCGCGCAGGCGGUUCGUUAAGUUCGAGGUGAAAUCUCCCGGCUCAACUGGGAGGGGUCUUCGGAUACUGGCGGACUUGAGGAGAGCAGAGGUGAGUGGAAUGCUGGGUGUAGUGGUGAAAUGCGUAGAUAUCCAGCGGAACACCAGUGGCGAAGGCGGCUCACUGGGCUCCACCUGACGCUGAGGCGCGAAAGCGUGGGGAGCGAACCGG